UGGGGAAUCUUGCGCAAUGGGCGAAAGCCUGACGCAGCCAUGCCGCGUGGAUGAUGAAGGUCUUAGGAUUGUAAAAUCCUUUCACCGGGGACGAUAAUGACGGUACCCGGAGAAGAAGCCCCGGCUAACUUCGUGCCAGCAGCCGCGGUAAUACGAAGGGGGCUAGCGUUGCUCGGAAUUACUGGGCGUAAAGGGCGCGUAGGCGGACAGUUAAGUUGGGGGUGAAAGCCCGGGGCUCAACCUCGGAAUUGCCUUCAAUACUGGCUGUCUUGAGUACGGGAGAGGUGAGUGGAACUCCGAGUGUAGAGGUGAAAUUCGUAGAUAUUCGGAAGAACACCAGUGGAGAAGGCGACUCACUGGCCCGUUACUGACGCUGAGGCGCGAAAGCGUGGGGAGCAAACA
rnacentral:rRNA from 1 species